UACGAGGGGGGCAAGUGUUGUUCGGAAUCACUGGGCGUAAAGGGCGCGUAGGCGGGUGUUUAAGUUAGGUGUUUAAUCCUGGGGCCCAACCCCAGUCGUGCACCUAAAACUGGACAUCUUGAAUAGGGGAGAGGUCAGUGGAAUUGGGGGUGUAGCGGUGGAAUGCGUAGAGAUCCCCAAGAACACCAGUUGCGAAGGCGGCUGACUGGACACAUAUUGACGCUGAGGCUCGAAAGCAUGGGGAGCAAACAGG
rnacentral:rRNA from 1 species